rnacentral:rRNA from 1 species
GAUGAACGCUGGCGGCGUGCCUAACACAUGCAAGUCGAGCGAACCCUUCGGGGUGAGCGGCGGACGGGUGAGUAACGCGUGGGUAACCUGCCCUAUACACACGGAUAACGUACCGAAAGGUACGCUAAUACGAGAUGACAUAUUUUUAUCGCAUGGUAGAAAUAUCAAAGCUCCGGCGGUAUAGGAUGGACCCGCGUCUGAUUAGCUAGUUGGUAAGGUAAUGGCUUACCAAGGCGACGAUCAGUAGCCGACCUGAGAGGGUGAUCGGCCACAUUGGAACUGAGACACGGUCCAA